GCCUGGGUGGCUCAGUUGGUUGAGCGUCCGACUUCAGCUCAGGUCGUGGUCUCAUGGUUUGUGGGUUCGAGCCCCACGUCAGGCU
rnacentral:tRNA from 1 species